UUCAAAUGUAAAUAAUAAUUAUUCGUUAAUAUUUUGUUAAUUUUUAUUUAAUUUAUUAAUUAUUUAAUUUUUUUACAUUUUUUUUACAUUUUUUUACCUUUUAUACAAUAUGUUUAUUAUUCACUAUCGUGUGCACUGUGCAGUUACAAAUUACAAAUUUAAACAGUUCACCUUAAAUUUUCGUCAAAUGUAUCUACAAAGAAUUAAAAUCAUCGCAAAUCCAAGUUAAACUUAAUAUGCCAUUUACAAGUUACAACAAUCACAUUCAAACCUUCAUAACUCAAAUCAUUAAGCAAGAUACAGUAACUGGUGUAUGCAUGUACCCAAGCCAUGUAGGAGAUUAUUCUGUUUGGAAAAACUUCUUCUGAAAAAACUGUUUCCACUAACAGUUCCACAUGGCGGUUUACGAGUAAUGACCAAAAUAGGCAUCUAGCUUCAACUUCUGUGUUCACCCUUGAAAGAAUGUCAUUAAGCUAUACCACAUAGAGUUGUAAAUACCGUUUCCGGAUAUAUGCCGGUGUAUUUAUUUAUAUAUAAUAAUAUUAUGUUAUUCUGUAAUCCGUGACAAGUGCCAUACUGUGCCACUGUGGUUAAGGCACAACUAAAUAAAUUGGGUGCCAUGAGUAGGGAUUUAAAUUCUGCCUUAUUAAUAUUAACACCUUAAUAAUAAUUAAUGACAUUAAA